rnacentral:rRNA from 1 species
UGGUGGAGUGAUUUGUCUGGUUAAUUCCGUUAACGAACGAGACCUUGACCUGCUAACUAGACACAGUAAGCUUUUGCUUGCUGGCAGAUCUUCUUAGAGGGACAAUCUGUGUUUCCAGCAGAUGGAAGUACGAGGCAAUAACA